UGGGGAAUAUUGGACAAUGGGGGCAACCCUGAUCCAGCAAUGCCGCGUGUGUGAAGAAGGUUUUCGGAUUGUAAAGCACUUUCGACGGGGACGAUGAUGACGGUACCCGUAGAAGAAGCCCCGGCUAACUUCGUGCCAGCAGCCGCGGUAAUACGAAGGGGGCUAGCGUUGCUCGGAAUGACUGGGCGUAAAGGGCGUGUAGGCGGUUUGUACAGUCAGAUGUGAAAUC
rnacentral:rRNA from 1 species